CAGGAGCUCCUGCUGUCCCCCAGCCAGGCUCUGGGAGGAAGGCCUCCCUAGGAUGUACCCAGUGGGCCCCAGGAAGGCCUGCCCAGCACUGAGGCCCCGUGAGGCCGGCAGCAGGGUCCUCCCCAGGCUUCCCCCUACAGCUCAGAGCUCGAAGCGGGCGCCAGGGGAGCCUCCGUCAUUGCGAUGCAGCCCCAGCCUCACGGAGGUGACAGGUGAGGGGCAGCCACCUUACCCGGCCGCCUGACCCAGGGAAAUGAAGUAGCAUCUUCUGUUCAGGGAAGACUGGCCCUGAGCUAACAUCCAUGCCCAUCUUCCUCCACUUUACAUGUGGAACGCCUACGACAGCAUGGCUUGCCAAGCAGUGCCGUGUCCACACCCUGGAUCUGAACCAGUGAACCCCGGGCUGCCAAGGCAGAAUGUGUGAACGUAACCACUGCACCACUGGGCUGGAUAAAUACCCAGAAGUGGAAUUGCUGGAUCGUAUGUGUGCGUUUGUGAAGAAUGAGAACGAAGAAUUUCGGCGGAAACACCUUGCAGCAUCUAAAGAGCUUUCUAUGUGCUGGGGUACCCCAACCCUGCCUCAAGGGAUGGGGUCGGCUGUCCUUUCUCCAAGGCCCUGACAGCGCCUGGUACGUAGUCUAGCCCAGAGCUGGAGCUCCACAGAUGCCAGAAGGAGCGGGCUGGGUCAGUUAUGGACCUGAAAGAAGGAUAUGCAUCAAAACAACCUCCAUGCGACUGGACCCAGCGGUUGGCCCUUGGUCCUCACCUCCUCUGAUCUGUCAGCAGCAUUUCAGGAGGGCCAGCCCCCUCCCUGACUCGCCAGGCACAACGCCCCUGCCUUCCCCUCCCGCUGCCUCCUCGUCCUCCUCUUCCCCUUCCUCCCUGGCUGCGUGCGUCUCUUCUCUCUGCCCUCUUCGGUUAGAUGCCCUGAGCUCGUUCCUUGGGCUCUGCCCUCCUUCUGCUACAGGAAAGAAAUCCUGGUGGUCUUAUCCAAUCUCAGCUGUCAACUGCCAAUGGCCGCAUUCCUCCUCCCGCCCAGCCGUCUCCCCUGAGCUCCAGGCUCAUACACCCAACAGCUUCUUUGACCUCUCCACACGGACGGCCAAGGACCUUAUCGAAUGCCGCAGGCCAAACCCCAACUCCUGAACUCCCCCAAAUUCCUCCCUGGGAGGGCUCCCCAGCUUGGUCAAUGGCAACUCCAUCCUUCUGGGACUCAGGCUAAAGCCCUUGUAGUCAUCCUUGACCUCUCCUCUCUCUCACACCUUAUGUCCCAUCCGUCAGGAAAUCCCAUCACCUCUGCCUUCAAAGCGUAGCCAGAAUCCGCCCACCUCCACUACCACAGUAGGCUCAUCGGAAGAUUUCCAUUACUCACUAGUGUCCCUGUGUCUGCCCUUGUCCCCUGCAGUCUAAUCUCAACACAGAAGCCAGAGCAUCCUCUUAAAACGCAAGCCCAUCACGCCUCUGUUCCAAACCCUAUACCCUCCAACGGCUCCCCAUUUUACCCGGAGUAAGACCCAAAGACCUGACAGUUGUCCGUGACAACGAUUCUCAAAGCAGGGUCCCCAGACCAGCUGCAUGCAUGCCUGGGAGCCUGUUAGAAAUGAACAUUCUCAGGCCCCGCCCCAGACCUGCUCAGUCGGAGGCUCUGGGGGUGGGGGAGCCGCAGUCUGUUUGGUAAGCCCUACGGGUAGUUUGGAUGCACACUCAAGUCUGAGAACUACUGGUCUAAUAAUGACUUACCCCAUCUCCCUGACCUCAUCCCCUCCCCUCCUCCAUCAGUUACAGCCAUGUGUCACUUAAACUCAUUCUAAGAAGUGUGUUGUUAGGUGACAUUGUUGUGUGGACAUCAUAGCGCGUACUUACACACAUCUCGAUGGUACAGCCC
ensembl:lncRNA